AUGCAGCUCCCUCCUCCGUGGAGCGAUUUCAGGCCGUCGCUUUGUGCUCAGCGUCUGUCGCUGCCCCCGCUGACCUACAAAAGCCCAGUGCUGAUAUCCCAAGGAUGGAAAAUCCAGCUGCUCUCACCCUCUGGAGAUCCAGGAGAGGCUCUGGAAAUCCACCCUGAGCCUUUGAUCCCAUCCUUCCUCCCCUUCUGGCACUCGGGGAAAGGGCUGCUGGAGGGGGAGGAACUGUGGAGGAGGAGGCAGAGAAGGGAAAUGGGGAUGGAAGGAACGAGGCUCAAGGAUGAAAUCCUGGAAUGGUUUGGUUGGAAAAGUCCUCUGAGAUCAUGGAGGCCAAACAUUCCCAGCACUGCCCCUGUCCCCAGUCACAUCCACGGGGAUUUAAAUCCCUCCAGGGAUGGGGAUUGCUCCACCUGAGCACCCUUUCCUGAAGGAAUUGUCCCAGAAUCCAUCCAGACAUUAAUUAAAGUGAGGGUUUCAGGAAAAAUGAUGAGUUUUGCUCUAAAAAGAGCUCAAAGCUUCCAGGGAGCUCCGUUUGUGCCAUGGAGGAGCUGUGGAUUAAUUGGAUUAAAGGCUUGGAGAGACCUGGAACAGCAGCUCUGGGCUGUGGAACAGGGAAAAGCUCUGGGAAUUCAUGGCAGGUCUGGGCACUUGAUAGAAAAUCAUGGAAUUGUUUAGGNUUCGGGAAUUCCAGCCAGGAAUUCCUGAUAUCCCAUCCCUGGCUGCCCUCUGGAAGCGGGAGCCAUUCCCUGUGUCCUGUCCCUCAUUCCCAGUCAGUUCACGGGCUCCAGGAUGAGAACACACCGCGCUCUAAUCGCAUUUUGCAUCCCAAUU
rnacentral:lncRNA from 1 species